UACCUUUGCACGCAAAUCAGGAUACACCUGUAUACAUAAUAAUUAUUUAAAUAAUAUUAGCAUG
rfam:Flavobacterium akiainvivens strain IK-1 scaffold00001, whole genome shotgun sequence.